rnacentral:rRNA from 1 species
CUUACCAACCCGAUGCAAACUGCGAAUACCGGAGAAUGUUAUCACGGGAGACACACGGCGGGUGCUAACGUCCGUCGUGAAGAGGGAAACAACCCAGACCGCCAGCUAAGGUCCCAAAGUCAUGGUUAAGUGGGAAACGAUGUGGGAAGGCCCAGACAGCCAGGAUGUUGGCUUAGAAGCAGCCAUCAUUUAAAGAAAGCGUAAUAGCUCACUGGUCGAGUCGGCCUGCGCGGAAGAUGUAACGGGGCUAAACCAUGCACCGAAGCUGCGGCAGCGACACUAUGUGUUGUUGGGUAGGGGAGCGUUCUGUAAGCCUGUGAAGGUGGCCUGUGAGGGUUGCUGGAGGUAUCAGAAGUGCGAAUGCUGACAUAAGUAACGAUAAAGCGGGUGAAAAGCCCGCUCGCCGGAAGACCAAGGGUUCCUGUCCAACGUUAAUCGGGGCAGGGUGAGUCGACCCCUAAGGCGAGGCCGAAAGGCGUAGUCGAUGGGAAACAGGUUAAUAUUCCUGUACUUGGUGUUACUGCGAAGGGGGGACGGAGAAGGCUAUGUUGGCCGGGCGACGGUUGUCCCGGUUUAAGCGUGUAGGCUGGUUUUCCAGGCAAAUCCGGAAAACCAAGGCUGAGGCGUGAUGACGAGGCACUACGGUGCUGAAGCGACAAAUGCCCUGCUUCCAGGAAAAGCCUCUAAGCAUCAGGUAACAUCAAAUCGUACCCCAAACCGACACAGGUGGUCAGGUAGAGAAUACCAAGGCGCUUGAGAGAACUCGGGUGAAGGAACUAGGCAAAAUGGUGCCGUAACUUCGGGAGAAGGCACGCUGAUAUGUAGGUGAAGCGACUUGCUCGUGGAGCUGAAAUCAGUCGAAGAUACCAGCUGGCUGCAACUGUUUAUUAAAAACACAGCACUGUGCAAACACGAAAGUGGACGUAUACGGUGUGACGCCUGCCCGGUGCCGGAAGGUUAAUUGAUGGGGUUAGCGGUAACGCGAAGCUCUUGAUCGAAGCCCCGGUAAACGGCGGCCGUAACUAUAACGGUCCUAAGGUAGCGAAAUUCCUUGUCGGGUAAGUUCCGACCUGCACGAAUGGCGUAAUGAUGGCCAGGCUGUCUCCACCCGAGACUCAGUGAAAUUGAACUCGCUGUGAAGAUGCAGUGUACCCGCGGCAAGACGGAAAGACCCCGUGAACCUUUACUAUAGCUUGACACUGAACAUUGAGCCUUGAUGUGUAGGAUAGGUGGGAGGCUUUGAAGUGUGGACGCCAGUCUGCAUGGAGCCGACCUUGAAAUACCACCCUUUAAUGUUUGAUGUUCUAACGUUGGCCCGUAAUCCGGGUUGCGGACAGUGUCUGGUGGGUAGUUUGACUGGGGCGGUCUCCUCCUAAAGAGUAACGGAGGAGCACGAAGGUUGGCUAAUCCUGGUCGGACAUCAGGAGGUUAGUGCAAUGGCAUAAGCCAGCUUGACUGCGAGCGUGACGGCGCGAGCAGGUGCGAAAGCAGGUCAUAGUGAUCCGGUGGUUCUGAAUGGAAGGGCCAUCGCUCAACGGAUAAAAGGUACUCCGGGGAUAACAGGCUGAUACCGCCCAAGAGUUCAUAUCGACGGCGGUGUUUGGCACCUCGAUGUCGGCUCAUCACAUCCUGGGGCUGAAGUAGGUCCCAAGGGUAUGGCUGUUCGCCAUUUAAAGUGGUACGCGAGCUGGGUUUAGAACGUCGUGAGACAGUUCGGUCCCUAUCUGCCGUGGGCGCUGGAGAACUGAGGGGGGCUGCUCCUAGUACGAGAGGACCGGAGUGGACGCAUCACUGGUGUUCGGGUUGUCAUGCCAAUGGCACUGCCCGGUAGCUAAAUGCGGAAGAGAUAAGUGCUGAAAGCAUCUAAGCACGAAACUUGCCCCGAGAUGAGUUCUCCCUGAGACUUAGAGUCUCCUGAAGGAACGUUGAAGACGACGACGUUGAUAGGCCGGGUGUGUAAGCGCAGCGAUGCGUUGAGCUAACCGGUACUAAUGAACCGUGAGGCUUAACCUU